UAAAGCGAAAGUGCGAUGUGACUCAUC
rnacentral:sRNA from 1 species